GGCCUAACCCGUUAAGUUCGCUUAACGGUAUGGUCGAAAAUCGAGACAAACAGAAAACCCGUUAUCAGGGCGUUUGUCUCGUUGCACAGGGAAACUUGUGUAGGAGCUUCGGCUCU
rnacentral:sRNA from 12 species